UUUUUAUGAGAGUUUGAUCCUGGCUCAGGACGAACGCUGGCGGCGUGCCUAAUACAUGCAAGUCGUACGCUUCUUUUU
rnacentral:rRNA from 1 species